AUUGAACGCUGGCGGAAUGCUUUACACAUGCAAGUCGAACGGUAGAGGGGGCAACCCCUUGAGAGUGGCGAACGGGUGAGUAAUAUAUCGGAACGUGCCCAGUCGUGGGGAUAACGUAGCGAAAGCUACGCUAAUACCGCAUACGAUCUAUGGAUGAAAGCGGGGGAUCGCAAGACCUCGCGCGAUUGGAGCGGCCGAUAUCAGAUUAGGUAGUUGGUGAGGUAAAGGCUCACCAAGCCGACGAUCUGUAGCUGGUCUGAGAGGACGACCAGCCACACUGGACUGAGACACGGCCCAGACUCCUACGGAGGCAGCAGUGGGGAAUUUUUGGGACAAUGGGCGCAAGCCUGAUCCAGCAAUGCCGCGUGCAGGAUGAAGGCCUCGGUUGUAACU
rnacentral:rRNA from 1 species